rnacentral:misc_RNA from 1 species
GAUGAAGAACGUAGCGAAAUGCGAUAAGUAAUGUGAAUUGCAGAAUUCAGUGAAUCAUCGAAUCUUUGAACGCACAUUGCGCCCGUCAGUAUUCUGGCGGGCAUGCCUGUUCGAGCGUCAUUACGCCCCUCAAGUCCCCUGUGGACUUGGUGUUGGGGAUCGGCGAGGCUGGUUUUCCAGCACAGCCGUCCCUUAAAUUAAUUGGCGGUCUCGCCGUGGCCCUCCUCUGCGCAGUAGUAAAACACUCGCAACAGGAGCCCGGCGCGGUCCACUGCCGUAAAACCCCCCAACUUUUUAUAGUUGACCUCGAAUCCGGUAGGACUACCCGCUGAACUUAAGCAUAUCAAUAAGCGGAGGA